rnacentral:pre_miRNA from 1 species
GUGCCUACUGAGCUGAUACUCAGUCGCUUUGAACACACUGGCUCAGUUCAGAAGGAACAG